UUAAUGAAAAUUCCUCAAGGCUUAACAAUGAAAAUAUGGAGCGACGUAUACAUAUUAGCAGUAUCAGCAUUAUUGGGAUUAAUAUU
rnacentral:sRNA from 1 species